rnacentral:rRNA from 1 species
GACGAACGCUGGCGGCGUGCUUAACACAUGCAAGUCGAACGGAAAGGCCCUGCGUUUGUGGGGUGCUCGAGUGGCGAACGGGUGAGUAACACGUGAGUAACCUGCCCUUGACUUUGGGGUAACUUCAGGAAACUGGGGCUAAUACCGGAUAGGAGCUCCUGCUGCAUGGUGGGGGUUGGAAAGUUUCGGCGGUUGGGGCUGGACUCGCGGCUUAUCAGCUUGUUGGUGGGGUAGUGGCUUACCAAGGCUUUGACGGGUAGCCGGCCUGAGAGGGUGACCGGCCACAUUGGGACUGAGAUACGGCCCAGACGCCUACGGGAGGCAGCAGUGGGGAAUAUUGCACAAUGGGCGGAAGCCUGAUGCAGCAACGCCGCGUGCGGGAUGACGGCCUUCGGGUUGUAAACCACUUUCGCCUGUGACGAAGCGUGAGUGACGGUAAUGGGUAAAGAAGCACCGGCUAACUACGUG